ACGAAGAACUGAGUUUGAACCUGGGACUUGCAUCUGUGAUGCCAGCACCGGGGAGGCAGAGGCAGGAGGAU
rnacentral:miRNA from 1 species